GAUGAACGCUGGCGGCGUGCCUAAUACAUGCAAGUCGAGCGAACGGACGCGAAGCUUGCUUCUCUGAUGUUAGCGGCGGACGGGUGAGUAACACGUGGAUAACCUACCUAUAAGACUGGGAUAACUUCGGGAAACCGGAUCUAAUACCGGAUAAUAUUUUGAACCGCAUGGUUCAAAAGUGAAAGACGGUCUUGCUGUCACUUAUAGAUGGAUCCGCGCUGCAUUAGCUAGUUGGUAAGGUAACGGCUUACCAAGGCAACUAUGCAUAGCCGACCUGAGAGGGUGAUCGGCGACACGGGAACUGAGACGCGGUCCAUGCGCCUACGGGAGGCAGCAGUAGGCAACCGUCCGCAGUAGGCGGAAGCCUGACGGAGCAACGGCGCGUGAGAGAUGAAGAUCUUGGGAGCGUGAAGCUCGGUUAUGAGGUAAGAACAUAUGUGUAAGUAAACGUACACAGAUUGACGGUACCUAAUCAGAAAGCCACGGCUAACUACGUG
rnacentral:rRNA from 1 species